AUAGUCAUUGUUUCAAAGUCAUAAAGGAAGGAUCUGAUAGAUACCGUGAGAGAGAAAGAGAGUACAGCCAAGGGAACUCUUUCAUCUAAUUUAUAUGUAAAAGUUCUUUAAAACAAUGGGAUGGAUUUUUCCCCUCAGUAAAAUUUCAAAGUGGGAAAUAUAUUGAAUGAACUUGAAGCAAUAUCCAACAUAUUUAAGAAGCAUGGACUCAAAUAGAAAAGAAGGUAGUUUCUGAUCAUUGUGGUAACUCCCCAAACAAUCAGAAGAAUUGAAGCAGAU